rnacentral:rRNA from 1 species
AUUGAACGCUGGCGGCAUGCUUUACACAUGCAAGUCGAACGGCAGCGCGGGCUUCGGCCUGGCGGCGAGUGGCGAACGGGUGAGUAAUUCAUCGGAACGUGCCCAGUAGUGGGGGAUAGCCCGGCGAAAGCCGGAUUAAUACCGCAUACGACCUGAAGGUGAAAGCGGGGGACCGAAAGGCCUCGCGCUAUUUGCGCGGCCGAUGUCGGAUUAGCCAGUUGGUGGGGUAAAGGCUUACCAAGGCGACGAUCCGUAGCUGGUCUGAGAGGACGACCAGCAACACUGGGACUGAGACACGGCCCAGACUCCUACGGGAGGCAGCAGUGGGGAAUUUUGGACAAUGGGGGCAACCCUGAUCCAGCCAUGCCGCGUGCGGGAAGAAGGCCUUCGGGUUGUAAACCGCUUUUGUUCGGGAAGAAAUCCUCUGGGCUAAUACCCCGGGGGGAUGACGGUACCGGAAGAAUAAGCACCGGCUAACUACGUG